AUGGCAUCGCAGGCGAUCGAGGUGAACAGGGAGGGCGCGGAGGUGUACCGUGGUGCGGCGUUGUGCGCAGAGAAGGCGAUGGAGCUGCUGGCCGAGACCAACAUGCCGCUGGCGGACAUCGAGGAGGUCGGCUACAACCGCUCCACGGGUUUCGUGUGGCUGCGCCAGAGGAAGGCGCUCACGCACACCACCGAGGUGACGGCCUUGGUCGAGGACCGCAAGAUGAAGUGCAUCACGGGGGUCAAGAGCAAGGAGCCCCUCGUCUGGGUCACCGUCUGCGACAUGUACAUCGACAAGAACGACCACUCAAAGAUCACGUUCAAGACGCCCACCGGACUGGGAAGUGUUAGCAAAUAA
rnacentral:rRNA from 1 species